CCUACGGGAGGCAGCAGUGGGGAAUAUUGCGCAAUGGCCGCAAGGCUGACGCAGCGACGCCGCGUGUGGGAUGAAGGCCUUCGGGUUGUAAACCACUGUUGGGGGGGACGAAUGCCCCGCAAGGGGAUUGACGGUACCUCCAGAGGAAGCACCGGCUAACUCCGUGCCAGCAGCCGCGGUAAUACGGAGGGUGCAAGCGUUGUCCGGAAUCACUGGGCGUAAAGGGCGCGUAGGCGGCUCGAUAAGUCGGUUGUGAAAUCCCGGGGCUCAACUCCGGGGCUGCAUCCGAGACUGUCAGGCUCGAGCAUGGUAGAGGCGAGUGGAAUUCCCGGUGUAGCGGUGGAAUGCGUAGAGAUCGGGAAGAACACCAGUGGCGAAGGCGGCUCGCUGGGCCAAUGCUGACGCUGAGGCGCGAAAGCGUGGGGAGCAAACAGGAUUAGAUACCCUGGUAGUCCACGCCGUAAACGAUGGGCACUAGGCGCCGGGGGGAGCGACCCUCUCGGUGCCGUCGCUAACGCAGUAAGUGCCCCGCCUGGGGAGUACGGUCGCAAGACUAAAACUCAAAGGAAUUGACGG
rnacentral:rRNA from 1 species